rnacentral:rRNA from 1 species
AACGAACGCUGGUGGCAGGCUUAACACAUGCAAGUCGAACGCCCCGCAAGGGGAGUGGCAGACGGGUGAGUAACGCGUGGGAACAUACCCUUUCCUGCGGAAUAGCUCCGGGAAACUGGAAUUAAUACCGCAUACGCCCUACGGGGGAAAGAUUUAUCGGGGAAGGAUUGGCCCGCGUUGGAUUAGCUAGUUGGUGGGGUAAAGGCCUACCAAGGCGACGAUCCAUAGCUGGUCUGAGAGGAUGAUCAGCCACAUUGGGACUGAGACACGGCCCAAACUCCUACGGGAGGCAGCAGUGGGGAAUAUUGGACAAUGGGCGCAAGCCUGAUCCAGCCAUGCCGCGUGAGUGAUGAAGGCCUUAGGGUUGUAAAGCUCUUUCACCGAUGAAGAUAAUGACGGUAGUCGGAGAAGAAGCCCCGGCUAACUUCGUG